GUCCUUGCGCCGCAUCCAACAGAUCUGCAGUGGUUUUUCAGAUGCAGCAGUAACGGAUGGGGGAAAAACAAAAAGCUUGGCAGGAAAGACCCAGCAGCAUCCUGAUGGGGGAAGGAGCGCAAUGUUAAGACGCAGCAGCAUCCGAAGUG